rnacentral:rRNA from 1 species
CCUACGGGGGGCAGCAGUGAGGAAUAUUGGUCAAUGGGCGCGAGCCUGAACCAGCCAAGUAGCGUGAAGGAUGACUGCCCUACGGGUUGUAAACUUCUUUUAUAAAGGAAUAAAGUGAGGCACGUGUGCCUUUUUGUAUGUACUUUAUGAAUAAGGAUCGGCUAACUCCGUUCCAGCAGCCGCGGUAAUACGGUGGAUCCGAGCGUUAACCGGAUUGAUUGGGGUUAAAGGGAGCGUAGAUGGGUUGUUAAGUCAGUUGAGAAAGUUUGCGGCUCAACCGUAAAAUUGCAAUUGAUACUGGCAGUCUUGAGUACAGUUGAGGUAGGCGGAAUUCGAGGUGUAGCGGUGAAAUGCUUAGAGAUCACGAAGAACUCCGAUGGCGAAGGCAGCUUACUAAACUGCCACUGACAUUGAUGUUCGAAAGUGUGGGUAGCAAACAGGAUUAGAUACCCUUGUAGUC